AUUGAACGCUGGCGGAAUGCUUUACACAUGCAAGUCGAACGGUAGAGGGGGCAACCCCUUGAGAGUGGCGAACGGGUGAGUAAUAUAUCGGAACGUGCCCAGUCGUGGGGAUAACGUAGCGAAAGUUACGCUAAUACCGCAUACGAUCUAAGGAUGAAAGCGGGGGAGUCGCAAGACCUCGCGCGAUUGGAGCGGCCGAUAUCAGAUUAGGUAGUUGGUGAGGUAAAGGCUCACCAAGCCGACGAUCUGUAGCUGGUCUGAGAGGACGACCAGCCACACUGGGACUGAGACACGGCCCAGACUCCUACGGGAGGCAGCAGUGGGGAAUAUUGGACAAUGGGCGGCAAGACCUGAUCCAGCCAUGCCGCGUGUGUGAAGAAAGGCCUC
rnacentral:rRNA from 1 species